rnacentral:tRNA from 1 species
CAGAAAUUAGUUAAUUAUCAUAAUUUAAACUUGUCAUGUUUAAGAAAUCUUUUUAAGAUAUUUCUGA